rnacentral:rRNA from 1 species
AUGGCGACCGGCGCACGGGUGAGUAACGCGUAUCCAACCUGCCCUUUACUAUGGGACAGCCCGUCGAAAGGCGGAUUAAUACCGUAUGUUGUCAUGUUGAUGCAUAUUUUCCUGACCAAAGGCUUCGGCCGGUAAAGGAUGGGGAUGCGUCUGAUUAGCUUGCCGGCGGGGUAACGGCCCACCGGGGCGACGAUCAGUAGGGGUUCUGAGAGGAAGGUCCCCCACAUUGGAACUGAGACACGGUCCAAACUCCUACGGAAGGCAGCAG